rnacentral:tRNA from 2 species
UGGGAUGUCGCCAAGUGGUAAGGCACGGGACUUUGACUUCCGCAUUCGUAGGUUCGAAUCCUGCCAUCCCAG